rnacentral:rRNA from 1 species
CAAGCCCUGGAAACGGGGUCUAAUACCGGAUAUGACACACGGCCGCAUGGUCUGUGUGUGGAAAGCUCCGGUGGUGCAGGAUGAGCCCGCGGCCUAUCAGCUAGUUGGUGGGGUAAUGGCCUACCAAGGCGACGACGGGUAGCCGGCCUGAGAGGGCGACCGGCCACACUGGGACUGAGACACGGCCCAGACUCCUACGGGAGGCAGCAGUGGGGAAUAUUGCACAAUGGGCGAAAGCCUGAUGCAGCGACGCCGCGUGAGGGAUGACGGCCUUCGGGUUGUAAACCUCUUUCAGCAGGGAAGAAGCGAGAGUGGCGGUACCUGCAGAAGAAGCACCGGCUAACCACGUGCCAGCAGCCGCGGUAAUACGUAGGGUGCGAGCGUUGUCCGGAAUUAUUGGGCGUAAAGAGCUCGUAGGCGGCUUGUCACGUCGGAUGUGAAAGCCCGGGGCUUAACCCCGGGUCUGCAUUCGAUACGGGCAGGCUAGAGUUCGGUAGGGGAGAUCGGAAUUCCUGGUG